CUCAAAAACACAGUUCUUGUGUUAAAGUCACGUUUGUUGAACUACUGUAGAGUAAACUGCUGAAUGUGUAAAGAUGCUAGACACUAUAGUUGUGAUUUUACUGUAAAAACAUGUUUUAUUUUGUAUAGAUAACAGGGAGCUCUAGUAAACACACAUAACUUAAUUCUCCGAAGAGGAUACAUCUUAAAGAUGCUUACUAAAUGUUUAUUCAACAUCUGACAGGAAAAUAUUAAGAAUAUAUAAAGUAUUAUGACUUAUGCAUGAUGGAUUAUGUUCCAUGAGUGAUGUGUGUGUGCUAUUAUGUAGAAUUCACUGUUGUCAACACUGUUUACAUUACAUGAAUGCAAGUAAUGUAAAUAAACAAAUGUACACUUAACUAGACAGACAUAAGUUAUCUAUUUUAUUUGUCCGUUAGUACGUUUAAUAAAACAAGGAACAUUUGUGUUGGAUAAAAAGUGAGUUAAAACAAAUCUUCAACUACCUCAAAAUUUAAGGAUUUGUAGAUUUGAGCACAUAAAUCUCAGAGGAAACUUGAAUCUUGUCUGAUGUUACAGGGACAGAAAUUAAUACAAAGUCUAUUUAAAUCUUAAGUUGUAGUUUAUUUUAAUUAUUGUAAUUUCAAACAGAGUUAUUACAGCACUUUUCUGAUUCUUGAUAUCUGUGCAUUUGUUGCAGAGCUUUGUGGUGGAGCAGGACCUGUGAGGAAAGAUGACAGUGGCAUUUGUGAAAAAAAGAAAAAAAAAAAGGAAAACCUGAAACAAAAAUAUAAAGAUGUGAAUGUCCUCAGACGGGUGUGAGCACUGAGGAUGGAGAGACACAGCAGAUCCUGGGAAUGGUUCAGUGUCAUGGAUGAGAUCCUCCAUCACUCCUCCUGCCCUUACUGCCUCAUCUGACCUGAUGUUGAUGUGAUUUCUUCAUCCUCAGUGAGUCCAGAGCCAGCGAGAGCAUCUAGACAAAGACCAAAGGACAGUGAGGAUGUGAUUUUG